GAGAGCCCCUUGCCAGAGGCUUUCCUCUUUGUUGGGCGGGGCCCUGCCAGAUAUGUCGUGGCUGUUGGCGCCCUCUGUGCUCUUACGUCCAGUCUCCUAGGUGAUGUGUUCCCCAUGCCUCGGGGGAUGUACGUGAUGGCAGAGGAUGGAAUCCUUUUUCAGGGACUUUCCAGAUCCACGACUGCACCCGAAUACCCAUCAUGGCCAUCAUGUCUUCUGGCAUCUUUGCAGUCAUGGCAUUACUCUUCAAGUUCAGCGAUCUGGUGGACCUCCUAUCAAUCGGGACCCUGCUUGCUGACUCCCUCGUGGUUCUUUCUGUCCUUGCCCUCAGGUACCAGCCAGAUCAGAAUUGCAGCAAGAAGGAGAAAACAGAGGAGGAAAUUGAGGUGAAGCCUGAAGUUAAAGAAAAUCCUCCAGAGCCUGUAUCUGAAGCAGGAAAUUCAAACAUUCUAAAGAGUCUGUGGUUCCCUACCAGCACCAUCCCCACCCAGAAAUCGCCAGAUUGUCAAUGGAUACGCCUUCCUGUUUGGUGACCAGUGGGACUUCUUUUUGGUGGUAUUCUGAAAUUGACAGGAUGGGUUGGAAAUAUGUGUCUAUUUCAGGCAAGAAGUAAUAGAGAUAUGAUGGCCCCUCCUGAUGUGGGCAGCCUGAGGAGGGGUGUGACCCGAGGUCCUGACAUCUUUGUCUUCUGGGUCCAGCCUGUUCUCCUCCACCUUGACCCUUGCAGUUCUCCUGCUGAUAAUCCUGAGCCUGAGCCUGGCCCAGUGGCCCAGCCAGCUGUUCUCUGGAGACCCCAUGCUCACAACAGUGGCUGUGCUGCUGCUGUUCAUCACUGGGGUCACAGCCAUCAUCUGGAGGCAGCCCCAGGACCCCACUGCUCUUCCAUUCAGGGUAGGCGAGGGACUUCCCUGGUGGUCCAGUGGUUAAGAAUCUACCUUGCAAUGCAGGGCAUUUGGGUUAGAUUCCAGGUCAGGGAACAAAUACCCAACCAGGACAUGCCACAGGGCAACUAAGCCCACACACCAGAACUAGAGAAGCCCUUGGGCCACAACUCGGUUCCGACACAGCCAAAUUAAUUAAUUUUUAAAAGUAAGUGACCUUCUGUGCCCAAACUAUCCACCUUAGUGAAUGAAGUCUGCCUGCUUUGAGGUCUAAACAUCCUUUGCUGGACAUGAGAAGAUGGGAAAUUGCUGAAGCCAACAGACCCUUCCCUGACCCACACUCAGUGCUUCACACACCCAGCUUCAGUAGGCACUGAACACACGGCUUCAAAAGCGCUGGAGUCUUCCUGCCCACAUGUGGGUCGGGUCUCCCUUUCAGACAUCUGGGCUGUGUCCAGGGAUGACCUGACUCUGCCCACAGGUCCUUGCUCUGUCUGUCCUCCCGCUGGUCAGCAUCUUCGUGAACGUUUCCCUGAUGAUGCAGAUGACCUCUGGAGCCUGGAUCCAAUUCAGUGUCUGGAAUGCCAUUGGAUUUGCCAUAUACUCUGGCUAUAGGAUCCGACACAGCCUGGAGGAGAACAAUGAGCAACAGUCUCCAGCCUGCACCUUCCAGACUCCUCACCCAAGCAUCCCUGCUGCUGAAUCAUCUUAACCACAGGACACAGGUGCCAUGUGGAGUCCCUCCAUCCGCUAGAGGAAUCUUCUGGUUCAAGGGGCACUUUGAGCCUCUAUGGACAAUGAAGGUGCAAUGCAUUUAGGGACCUAUAUUUAUUGCCAGUGGACAAAUGACGUACAUGCUGAAUAAUUUUUAAGUAUUCUUUUCAGAACACAAUACACAUACCAAAAGGGCAUGCUUUGUGAGUGUUCAGCAAGAUGAUAUUUCACAAAGAAUGUAUAACAAUGUAAGCAGAUACUGGAGAA